rnacentral:rRNA from 1 species
UACGUAGGGUGCGAGCGUUGUCCGGAAUUAUUGGGCGUAAAGGGCUCGUAGGCGGCCAACUAAGUCAUACGUGAAAUCCCUCAGCUUAACUGGGGAACUGCGUGUGAUACUGGAUGGCUUGGAUUUGGGAGAGGGAUGCGGAAUUCCAGGUGUAGCGGUGAAAUGCGUAGAUAUCUAGAGGAACACCGGUGGCGAAGGCGGCAUCCUGGACCAAUAUUGACGCUGAGGAGCGAAAGCCAGGGGAGCAAACGGG